rnacentral:rRNA from 1 species
AACGCAGGUGGUUUGGUAAGUCAGGGGUGAAAGUCCACAGCUUAACUGUGGCACUGCCUUUGAUACUACCUUUCCUGAGUGCAUGAGGGGGAAGCGGAAUUCCGAGUGUAGAGGUGAAAUUCGUAGAUAUUCGGAGGAACACCGGUGGCGAAGGCGGCUUCCUGGCAUGUAACUGACACUCAUGUUCGAAAGCGUGGGGAGCAAACAGGAUUAGAUACCCUGGUAGUCCACGCCCUAAACGAUGGGCACUAGGUGUGGGAGGUAUCGACCCCUUCCGUGCCGCAGCUAACGCAUUAAGUGCCCCGCCUGGGGAGUACGGCCGCAAGGUUGAA